AGACAAUAAAGAAAGGAAACCCCUGAAGGAGAUUUCCCAGAUGUCCUUAUGGAAGGGGCCUCUCCCUCCAAACAACAGCCUCCACACCCACCUUGCGGUCCUCAGUGCCAGAAGUCGCCUCAAACAAGACGUCUCCAUACCCGUAGUGGUUAUACACAAUGUACGACAGUGCACUUGCGCCAAUCACCACAAGGUUUCAUCAUUGCACUGCAAGCAUUCAGGAAGAAAAUAAAAUAAACAAAUGAAAAAGCUUUGGUCACAGAUAAUGGCAACUAUUGUCAGGGGGGAAAAAAACUCUUGGGUAAUCUGUCAAGAGAGUAAUAUUUAGCAGUGUGUGUUAACUAAAUGUGUCACCUAUCUCUGCCAAAUAUAGAAACGUGCUAUCAAUACUUACAUUCCUGAGUUUAUGCAUUUUAAGUGUCAAACCAUGCAGCGGGUGAAGGGAGGGCAGGAGGUGGGGAAAAAAUAAGAACCAAGGUAUAUCAUGUAAAGAAAGGUACAAGAUCCCAAAAAUGAAUGUAAAUGCACUGUAUACCUGAAAUGUACCAAUAAAGAAAAAAGAAAAAAAUAAAAAUAAUAAAGUGUCAAACCAACACAUUAUUUCUGGGACUAAUUUCAACUCUCAAUGAAAAACAUAUCUUAUGCUUUAAAGAACAAUUACUGGCCAUCUACCAUAGAAUAUACAAGUCCAUUUCAUUUAUUGCUUCAGUAAACAAAAAUUAUAUCUUUCCAGAAAACUGCAGGAAUGUGAUUGCAAACAGGAUUUUAAAUGUCAAGUGGAUAGUGUUUCAAAGAGCUACCUGAAAAUGAUCUCAUUUACCCACUAAGUCAAAGAACGUUCCCCAUAUGUUCUUACACCAAAAAUCUUUUUUACAACAAAACUUUACACACAAUUAUACAUAGACCAUUUCUUGUAGACUGCUUCACUGUUGGAAACACCGAUUAUAAUGUAAGGUGAUAUAGUAAACAAAAAUCCCUGAGCAUGUGAUACUGUCUCUGCACUAGUCUCCAAGAACCACAUAAUCAAAGCUCUGGCACUUUUCUGUCAGAUGCCAUUUCUCCCCAUUGUACAUACUUUCUCUGCACCUCUCCCAGAAUUCUCACACCUGCAGUAUUCUCUGAGCUGGAAGAAUCAGCAUCAAACAAUUUUAGGAGUUUCUGUAGAUGUGUCUUAAGUGUAUCAACCAUGUGGCGUUCGUAAUUGUGAAAAUGCCCUCUCCUUAUCAUUUUUUUAUCUUUAUUUCUUAUUCUCAUCAAUUUUAUCAUGCAUGACUGUGGCCAUGUAUAUACAGACAUACACAACCACAGUAUGGCUAGUGAAAAGUUUGCAUACCACUAGUUUGAUCAACAGAUGAUUUUAAAUUUUGGAGAAGGCAUAACAGCCAGUAAGUUACAUCUAAGCA
rnacentral:lncRNA from 1 species